rnacentral:tRNA from 1 species
AGUUGGGUAGUCUACUGAAAGAUAGCUGUCUUCGACAUAGCAGAACUCGGUUCAACUCCGGGUCCAUCAU